GUCGCCCUGCUCUUGUCGAAUGCCUACGCUCCGCGUGGGUCAGGCGACGGCCAGUAGGCAAGGCGGGGCGGC
rnacentral:sRNA from 12 species